ensembl:miRNA
CCAAGGGUUCCUCAUUAAGGUGGGUGGAAUAGUAUAACAAUAUAACAUGUGUUGUUAUAGUAUUCCACCUUCCCUGAUGUGCCU